rnacentral:rRNA from 1 species
GACGAACGCUGGCGGCGUGCUUAACACAUGCAAGUCGAACGGAGUGGCGAACGGGUGAGUAAAACGUGGGUGACCUGCCCUGAACUUCGGGAUAAGCCUGGGAAACUGGGUGUAAUACCGGAUAGUGUGGGAUGGGCCCGCGGCCUAUCAGCUUGUUGGGGGGGUAAUGGCCUACCACGGGGGCGACGGGUAGCCGGCCUGGGAGGGGGGACGGCCACCUUGGGACUGAGACACGGCCCAGACGGCUACGGGAGGCAGCAGGGGGGAAUAUUGCGCAAUGAGGGGAAGCCUGAUGCGGCGACGCCGCGUGGGGUAUGACGGCUUUCGGGUUGUAAACUCCUUUCACCAUCUACGCGGUAGAUGGAGAAGAAGCACCGGCUAACUACGUGCCAGCAGCCGCGGUAAUUC